AUUGAACGCUGGCGGCAGGCCUAACACAUGCAAGUCGAGCGGCAGCGGGAAAGUAGCUUGCUACUUUUGCCGGCGAGCGGCGGACGGGUGAGUAAUGCCUGGGAAAUUGCCCAGUCGAGGGGGAUAACAGUUGGAAACGACUGCUAAUACCGCAUACGCCCUACGGGGGAAAGCAGGGGACCUUCGGGCCUUGCGCGAUUGGAUAUGCCCAGGUGGGAUUAGCUAGUUGGUGAGGUAAUGGCUCACCAAUGCGACGAUCCCUUGAUGGUCAGAGAAGAUGAUGAGGUAAACUGAAAGUGAGACUCGGGCCAGACUCCUACGGGAGGCAGCAGUGGGGAAUAUUGGAUAAUGGGGGAAACCCUGAUGCAGCCAUGCCGCGUAUGUGAAGAAGGCGUUCGGGUUGUAAAGGACUUUCAGCGAGGAGGAAAGGUCAGUAGCUCAUCUCUGCUGACUGUGACAUUACGCGCAGAAGAAGCACCGGCUAACUCCGUGGCAGCCGCCGCUGUAAAAC
rnacentral:rRNA from 1 species